UUUACUCCGAUUCUGUCAAAUUUUAUCUGGAUCUAUGUAUUCCUAACUCUUUGCAAUCUAUCCGGAUUUCCUUUGAACGUAUUUUGCGUUAAAUCAAGCAUUGGCGUCAUGAUAUCUAAAGCCAAACUAACUCUAACGGCAUUUCAUGUAAUCAGGGUUGCCCCAUCUCGUUUCUUCUUGUCCGUGAGCUGUCUCUUACGACUCACUGUUAAAUUCUGACACUACUUUAAAUCACUUAGAGCUCAUUGGUAUCAUUCAUGUGUUUACAGGAAAGACAACCUUUGGCAGACAUAAGCAAUCAACCAAAAGCUAAAUCGCUAACCAAAUCUUCUCUGAUAACACCCAUGUAUCCGUCGUUAGAACCUUUGCGACCACUAACACCGUCCUCAUCGCCACUUCGCACAAGCAUGCGGGUCGGUCCCAAAGGUCGAGCCGCAACAUGCGAUUUCGAUGGCGAAGCUAAUGUGGGAUCGCAAUUAAGUUUGCAAUCGUCGCCUCGUCGAAGUCCAUCUAAAGCACACCCGCCAUUGGUGCUUCACUGCCGAUCGAAAUCGCAUUCCCCAUCGGUACCUCAAUGGAGCCAUUUGCCAUCAACGCCUCGUCUGAGCCCAUCGCCAAAACAAAGUCUCUCUCUAUCACAUUCUAGGAGUUCGCGGUGACGGUCACGCUUUAACAGUUCGCGCUCUCAGCAUACUCCGAAUUCUCCAUGCUCUCAAAAUUCACCGUCGCGUUCGCGCCCUCAACAUGCACCAUCACCUAUGCGCUCUCAACAUGCACCGUCGCGUUCGCGCUCUCAGCGUUCACGGUCCCGCGCACAUUCGCGUUUUAGACGUUAGCGGUCACGUUCGCGUUCUAGGCAUUCGCGGUCACGGUCACGCGCUUUUUUUAUUUUCUAACGAUUCAUUACUCCUUAUUGUUCAAAAGAAUAUAAUUUUUGAAUGGCACAUAAGUAACAUGAAAUAUUGUCACAGAUUCAACGACCUACUGGAUUAUUCUCAAAUUUUGGAAACCGAGAUUGUAUAAGAUGUACGCAAAGCGAAACCUUUUGAAUGCUCCAGAUGAAGCAGAAGCACAUCGGCGUUAUAAAAUAUUUGAUGAAGGAAAGCGCAUUUAUUUGUGACAAGGUAUUACUUCACGAGUAGAUGCCUGGAGAACGCUGUGAACUACAAAACCAUUAAGCACUUUUGCUGCGGGGGCAGCUCAGCUGAUAUGGAAAAAAGAGUUGCCGUAUUUUUCUUUGGACCUCAAAAAAGUAAAGAAAAUUGUUCCCGGAGAGAAGUCCAUUCAGCUUAUCUGUCCAAAUAAGUUG